UACGUAGGUGGCAAGCGUUGUCCGGAUUUAUUGGGUUUAAAGGGUGCGUAGGCGGCCUAUUAAGUCAGUGGUGAAAUACUCUAGCUUAACUAGAGGGGUGCCAUUGAUACUGAUGGGCUUGAGUACAGAUGAGGUAGGCGGAAUUGACGGUGUAGCGGUGAAAUGCUUAGAUAUCGGGAAGAACACCCGUGGCGAAGGCGGCUCUCUGGGACGGUACUGACGCUGAGACGCGAAAGCGUGGGGAGCGAACAGG
rnacentral:rRNA from 1 species